GACGAACGCUGGCGGCGUGCCUAAUACAUGCAAGUAGAACGCUGAAGAGAGGAGCUUGCUCUUCUUGGAUGAGUUGCGAACGGGUGAGUAACGCGUAGGUAACCUGCCUUGUAGCGGGGGAUAACUAUUGGAAACGAUAGCUAAUACCGCAUAACAAUGGAUGACACAUGUCAUUUAUUUGAAAGGGGCAAUUGCUCCACUACAAGAUGGACCUGCGUUGUAUUAGCUAGUAGGUGAGGUAACGGCUCACCUAGGCGACGAUACAUAGCCGACCUGAGAGGGUGAUCGGCCACACUGGGACUGAGACACGGCCCAGACUCCUACGGGAGGCAGCAGUAGGGAAUCUUCGGCAAUGGGGGCAACCCUGACCGAGCAACGCCGCGUGAGUGAAGAAGGUUUUCGGAUCGUAAAGCUCUGUUGUAAGUCAAGAACGAGUGUGAGAGUGGAAAGUUCACACUGUGACGGUAGCUUACCAGAAAGGGACGGCUAACUACGUGCCAGCAGCCGCGGUAAUACGUAGGUCCCGAGCGUUGUCCGGAUUUAUUGGGCGUAAAGCGAGCGCAGGCGGUUUGAUAAGUCUGAAGUUAAAGGCUGUGGCUCAACCAUAGUUCGCUUUGGAAACUGUCAAACUUGAGUGCAGAAGGGGAGAGUGGAAUUCCAUGUGUAGCGGUGAAAUGCGUAGAUAUAUGGAGGAACACCGGUGGCGAAAGCGGCUCUCUGGUCUGUAACUGACGCUGAGGCUCGAAAGCGUGGGGAGCGAACAGGAUUAGAUACCCUGGUAGUCCACGCCGUAAACGAUGAGUGCUAGGUGUUGGAUCCUUUCCGGGAUUCAGUGCCGCAGCUAACGCAUUAAGCACUCCGCCUGGGGAGUACGACCGCAAGGUUGAAACUCAAAGGAAUUGACGGGGGCCCGCACAAGCGGUGGAGCAUGUGGUUUAAUUCGAAGCAACGCGAAGAACCUUACCAGGUCUUGACAUCCCGAUGCUAUUUCUAGAGAUAGAAAGUUACUUCGGUACAUCGGUGACAGGUGGUGCAUGGUUGUCGUCAGCUCGUGUCGUGAGAUGUUGGGUUAAGUCCCGCAACGAGCGCAACCCCUAUUGUUAGUUGCCAUCAUUCAGUUGGGCACUCUAGCGAGACUGCCGGUAAUAAACCGGAGGAAGGUGGGGAUGACGUCAAAUCAUCAUGCCCCUUAUGACCUGGGCUACACACGUGCUACAAUGGUUGGUACAACGAGUUGCGAGUCGGUGACGGCAAGCUAAUCUCUUAAAGCCAAUCUCAGUUCGGAUUGUAGGCCGCAACUCGCCUACAUGAAGUCGGAAUCGCUAGUAAUCGCGGAUCAGCACGCCGCGGUGAAUACGUUCCCGGGCCU
rnacentral:rRNA from 1 species